CUGUAUAUUAAUACUAUAUCUUCGUUAAAAUCAUUUGAUCUUGAUUAUAAUUGUCAAUGCCCCAAAAUCUGGUAUUUUGAUAUACAUUUUUUUUCAACUAUAAAUGCCAUACUCUGUCAACCACUUUUCAUUAAUGUAUGUGUUCAGUAACAGUUAAAGUUGUAUUUAGUGAUCGAUGCUGGAAAGUGUAGCUUAAAUAAUCAAGUUUUGCCGUAGUGUAUCUCUCAUAUGUGCAGGGUUUAACGUCCAGUUUCCCAUUGUGCAAGUCUCGAGUUUAUUUUUCGAGUACUGCGACAAUUGGUACUAGAAACUCUUCAUUCAUGUGGUGCCUUACAUGUAAUUUGCAAAUACGUGUACAAGUGUAGUGUGUUUAUUUUUCUUCUAGAUCUUGUUGACACAUAUUUCAAGUAUAGGAUUAUGCAUUUUUACUAAACAAAAACCAUUUAUUUUAUAAAACUUCUUCAUACCUUAUUUUGACAUUUUCUAUUUUUGUAAUUUUUGGGCACUUUUAUCAAUCCUCUAAAAUCAUUUUUAUGUAAAAUCAAAUUAUACCUACUGUCAAUCAUACAUAAAUGUAUUUUGCAUAUAUGCCUAUGAUUUAUACUGGUGGAAAUGUAUAAUCUUUCAACAAUUGUUUCACCUGUGUCUAUUUGAUAAACAGCAAUAUGACUGAAUAAAUCGAAUAAAGUU
rnacentral:sRNA from 1 species